rnacentral:lncRNA from 1 species
UGUGCAUGCCGAUGGGGCCGCAGGUGCUCCUCAUCAGAGCCACCAAACUCUUGGUCACGUCCUGCAGGCGCCGCGGGUAGACCAGCAGCCAGCAGUUCAUGUCGACCUGGGGGGGCGGAGGGAGGCGUGGGGCAGGGAAAGCAUCCCGAGGGGGGAACACGCGACGCUCAGCUCCCGCGGCCCCGGGGGGAGGGGGGGACGCAGCCACCUCGUCCACACAUCCCUUCAGAAAAGCGGGCCGUGAGGCAAAGCCAAAGUAAAUCCAGGGCAGACCGCAGCCAGGACACGGCUCCGUGUGCAGACAGACGCGCAGCAGGAGGCAGAGCUGACGGAACCCAUCCCAGCCCCGACAAAGCCGCGUUGUUCCGGGGCAGCAGAGCCCGGCCGCGCGCUCACCGUGGAGAUGGCAGCUUCCCGCACCACCUCCUUGGUCCAGUUCACGUCCUCGGCGGGGAUGAAGGAGCAGCGCCGCAGGUUGACCCGCUCCGAGGGCAGGAUGCGGCCCUGGGUCUGCGAGGAACGCGACCUGAGGCAGCUCCUGCGCUGCCCCCCUGCAUCCCAGGGCAUCCCCCCGUCUUACCGUGUGGAUGUCGGGGCUCAGGACGAGCCCCCAGCGCGUCAGCUCCUGCAACGCCUCCUGGUUGCAUUGAAUGCGGCGCAGCAAACUGCACAGAGACUCGUAGUGCUGCUGGGGGCUCUGCAGCAUCUCCUGCAUCACGUCCUGGGGGCAGAGCCAGCCGUGUGGGGCAGCCCCGCAGCGCCAGCCCUGCCCCGGGGGGGUGGGAGAUGCUGACCUUCAGCAUGCGGGCGUCCUUCUUGACCUCCGAGAUGCCGGUCAGGAAGGUGAGCUCCGGCAGCAGCAGCACCAUGUCCAGCUGGGGCUGUGGGAGAGCCCGGCUCGUGCUGCACGCAGAGCUGCAAAGCACACCCCCCCCCCCCCCCCCCCCCCGGCUCACCUUGCCCCCCAGCAUCAGCUUCUCCUUGGGUCUGUGGAUGAGCAGCGGCUGCUCCAACUCCCGCACGGUGAUCCCAUACGUUUUGCUGACAGAAAACCCACGCCGUGAGCCGGGCUUCUCACAAGCAGCCCCUCCGAACCCCCGCCAGCCCCCCUCGUCCCCACCUGUAGUAAUCCACGAAGCUGAUCUCCUCCCCGCUGCCCAAGGUGAAGCUGUCCCUGGGGGUCUUCUCCCACUCGAUGUCAUCGAUGCGGUAUGUGCGGUUGUUGUAGCGGGUCAGCACCGUGCUGCCCACCAGCUGCUUGGUGCACUCGUCGUGGAAGCUGCUGGGGCUCUGCUUGCAGAUGGACUGCCUGCGAGGAAGGGAGAGGGGACAGCCCUGAAUCCCACGGCCCCCAAAGCACGGGGAACCCCCCGCCCCGAGGCUCCUGCCCAUUCCUCCCCUCUCACAUUAAAGCCAGCACGGAUUCAUUCCGGAUGA